rnacentral:rRNA from 1 species
AGCAGCCGCGGUAAUUCCAGCUCCAAUAGCGUAUAUUAAAGUUGUUGCAGUUAAAAGCUCGUAGUUGAAUUUCGGGAUCAAGGAAUCGGUCAUGCCUCGGUAUGUACUGGUUUUAUUGGUUCUCACCUUCUAAAGAACCAUGAUGUCAUUCAUUUGAUGUUAUGGGGAAUUAGGACUGUUACCUUGAAAAAAUUAGAGUGUUUAAAGCAGGCUUACGCUUGAAUACAUUAGCAUGGAAUAAUGAAAUAGGACAUCAGAUUCUAUUUUGUUGGUUUCUAGGAUCGAUGUAAUGAUUAAUAGGGAUAGUUGGGGGUCAUUAGUAUUCAAUUGUCAGAGGUGAAAUUCUUGGAUUUAUUGAAGACUAACUACUGCGAAAGCAUUUUGCCAAGGAUGUUUUCAUUAAUCAAGAACGAAAGUUAGGGGAUCGAAGACGAUCAGAUACCGUCGUAGUCUUAACCAUAAACUAUGCCGACUAGGGAUCGGAUGAUGUUUAUUUUUUAGUGACUCAUUCGGCACCUUA